AGCAGCCGCGGUAAUUCCAGCUCCAAUAGCGUAUAUUAAAGUUGUUGCAGUUAAAAGCUCGUAGUUGAAUUUCGGGAUUGACACAUCGGUCGUGCCUUAAGGGGUAUGAACUGGUGUAGUCAAUUUCUCACCUUCUGGAGAACCGCGAUGCCCUUAAUUGGGUGUCGCGGGGAACCAGGACCUUUACUUUGAAAAAUUAGAGUGUUUAAAGCAGGCAUUUUGCUUGAAUACAUUAGCAUGGAAUAAUAAAAUAGGACGGCAUGAUUCUAUUUUGUUGGUUUCUAGGAUCACCGUAAUGAUUAAUAGGGAUAGUUGGGGGCAUUAGUAUUCAAUUGUCAGAGGUGAAAUUCUUGGAUUUAUUGAAGACUAACUACUGCGAAAGCAUUUGCCAAGGAUGUUUUCAUUAAUCAAGAACGAAAGUUAGGGAUCGAAGACGAUCAGAUACCGUCGUAGUCUUAACCAUAAACUAUGCCGACUAGGAAUCAGACGAUGUUAAUUUUUUAAUGUACUUCGUUUGGCA
rnacentral:misc_RNA from 1 species